rnacentral:lncRNA from 1 species
GAUGAUGAUGAUGAUGAAGACGGAAUGGAUAUGGGUGGGUUCUCUCUCCUACAGGGAUCCUAUGUUCUUGAGAAUACUAGGAUCAUGUCUCAGAAAAGAGAAGCUUUGCAGGGUUCAGCAUGGCAACUAAGCUCUGAUGAUGUACGAUGGGGUAUAUUCCCUAUCGGCCGAGUACCAGGUCAGACUGAGGACCCAACAGAGCUUAUGCUGGAUAAUUAUGACACCAUGUAUCUUUUGGACCAACCUGUACUAGAGCACCGGUUAGAACCCCAAAAGUCUAAGAGUAGCACUCUGGGCCUAUGCUGUGGCAGCAAUAACAAUGGCGGUGUUGGCAACAUGGAGGGCCUUCUCUGGAACCAAGGACAAAUGCAUGGGCUCAAAGCUGGCCUGCAGCUCUUCUGAUGGCUGUCCUGAUGCAAGUGUCCAUGUAGCCCUGCCACUGUCACAGCUCAGUCCAGAAUCCACCCAUGGUACAGAGUGGACAACCUAAGAGACAGAUCAGCCUUAUCAAUUCCGCUGUCGACCACAAUGGAAAUUAGAAUGAUUCCCCCAUUUUCUGUUGUGUUUUGAAAAAUAAUAAACAGAUUUUUGUCAUGGUG